AGGCUACCACAGUCAGAGGAUGCUGAUCUGAGAUCUGACUCCACCAUGAACUGCAGGCUUCUCUGCAGGGUGGUCUUCUGUCUCCUCGGGGCAGUUCCCACGAACACCAGAGUUACCCAGACACCAAGACAUCUGGUCAUGGGAACAACAAACAAGAAGUCUUUAAAAUGUGAACAAAAUCUGGGACAUAAUGCCAUGUACUGGUAUAAACAGAAUGCUAAAAAGGGCCCGGAGCUCAUGUUUGUCUGCAAUUAUCAAAACCUGGCCCAAAAUGAGACGGUGCCUAGUCGCUUCUCACCUAAUUGCUCAGACAAAUCUCAGGUCUACCUUGACUUGACUGCCUUGCGUCCCGAAGAUUCAGCAGUGUAUCUCUGUGCCAGCAGCCAAGACACAGCCCUGCAGAGCCACUGCCUCCCUGUGCACAAACCUCUGGAGCCCAAGCUCUAG